GACUCGUUUAGCUCAGUUGGUAGAGCAUUUGACUUUUAAUCAAAGGGUCACUGGUUCGAGCCCAGUACGGGUCA
rnacentral:tRNA from 1 species